rnacentral:rRNA from 1 species
AAUUUGAAAUCUGGCGUCUUUGGCGUCCGAGUUGUAAUUUGAAGAAGGUAUCUUUGGGCCCGGCUCUUGUCUAUGUUCCUUGGAACAGGACGUCACAGAGGGUGAGAAUCCCGUGCGAUGAGAUGACCCGGGUCUGUGUAAAGUUCCUUCGACGAGUCGAGUUGUUUGGGAAUGCAGCUCUAAGUGGGUGGUAAAUUCCAUCUAAAGCUAAAUAUUGGCGAGAGACCGAUAGCGAACAAGUACAGUGAUGGAAAGAUGAAAAGAACUUUGAAAAGAGAGUGAAAAAGUACGUGAAAUUGUUGAAAGGGAAGGGCUUGAGAUCAGACUUGGUAUUUUGCAUGCUGCUCUCUCGGGGGCGGCCGCUGCGGUUUACCGGGCCAGCAUCGGUUUGGAGCGGCAGGAUAAUGGCGGAGGAAUGUGGCACGGCUUCUGCUGUGUGUUAUAGCCUCUGACGAUACUGCCAGCCUAGACCGAGGACUGCGGUUUUUACCUAGGAUGUUG